UACAGAGGUGGCAAGCGUUGUUCGGAAUUACUGGGCGUAAAGGGCGCGUAGGCGGCCUUCUAAGUCAGACGUGAAAUCCCCAGGCUUAACUUGGGAACUGCGUCUGAUACUGGUUGGCUUGAGUGCAGGAGAGGAACGCGGAAUUCCAGGUGUAGCGGUGAAAUGCGUAGAUAUCUGGAGGAACACCGGUGGCGAAGGCGGCGUUCUGGACUGCAACUGACACUGAGGAACGAAAGCCAGGGGAGCAAACGGG
rnacentral:rRNA from 1 species